UGACUUGGUCCUCCUCAACUUCUGCCAUGAUUGUGAGGCCUCCCAAACCACAUGGAACUAUGAGAACAAUGAAGCACAGAGAGAUUAUGUUAACUUGUCCAGUGCCAAAGAGCUAUUAAGUGGCAGAGCUGGGAUUUAUUGCCACUGCACUGUUGCCUCUUCUGUUAGGAGCUCUUUGCUGUGCUGAGAUUGCAGUAUUUAAAGAUAGGCUUCCAGUUAAUCACAGUCCGUUGUUCACAUAGACUUAUCACGUCUGCCUCCCAAACUCUUGAAAUGUUGGCAGGUCUGGAGGCUAGAAGGUUGAAAUCAAGGUAUUAGCAGAGCCAUGUUUCCUAUGAAGGCGAAGGUAAAUCUUGAUUUUUAAAGGGAAGAGUAUGUUUCCCAGUUGCCCUCGCAAUGCUGUAGUACCAUGAUUUGGCCAUUAAGAUUGGGUAGUAGUGUUGUGUAUAACUAAAAGGAAAUCUCCUUAGAAAUAAAGAAAAACAUCUCCUUUGCCUGUUUCUCCAUCCUGCCACUGGAACUUUGAUAUAAUGGUUAGAGUUAUAGCAAGCAUCUAGGAUCCUAGGAUGAAAGACAUUGUCUGACAAGGGCAGAGAUACAGAUGGAAGAAUGCUGGGACUGAUUUUCUUGUGGGUUGGCCAUAUAUAAACCUUAGAUGGUCUAUCUCUCUGCAUGUCUUUUACCUGAGAGAAAAACAGGCUGUCAUGUUUGUUGUUAUUUCUUCAGUCUUUAUGUCUAGCAAUUAAACUUAAAACUAGCAUUGUAACUAUUCUAACCUAUCGGUAUUAAUAGUGUAUUUUUCAAAUUUAAAUAUAUCAACAUUCUAUUUUUAACAUUUGAA